rnacentral:rRNA from 1 species
UGGGGAAUAUUGGACAAUGGGCGAAAGCCUGAUCCAGCCAUGCCGCGUGUGUGAAGAAGGUCUUCGGAUUGUAAAGCACUUUAAGUUGGGAGGAAGGGCAGUAAGCGAAUACCUUGCUGUUUUGACGUUACUCGCAGAAUAAGCACCGGCUAACUCUGUGCCAGCAGCCGCGGUAAUACAGAGGGUGCGAGCGUUAAUCGGAUUUACUGGGCGUAAAGCGUGCGUAGGCGGCUAAUUGAGUCGGAUGUGAAAUCCCCGGGCUUAACUUGGGAAUUGCAUUCGAUACUGGUUAGCUAGAGUGUGGGAGAGGAUGGUAGAAUUCCAGGUGUAGCGGUGAAAUGCGUAGAGAUCUGGAGGAAUACCGAUGGCGAAGGCAGCCAUCUGGCCUAACACUGACGCUGAGGUACGAAAGCAUGGGGAGCAAACAGG